rnacentral:rRNA from 1 species
UACGGAGGAUCCAAGCGUUAUCCGGAAUCAUUGGGUUUAAAGGGUCCGUAGGCGGCCUUAUAAGUCAGUGGUGAAAUCCCAUCGCUUAACGAUGGAACUGCCAUUGAUACUGUAGGGCUUGAAUUUUUGUGAAGUAACUAGAAUAUGUAGUGUAGCGGUGAAAUGCUUAGAUAUUACAUGGAAUACCAAUUGCGAAGGCAGGUUACUAACAAAGGAUUGACGCUGAUGGACGAAAGCGUGGGGAGCGAACAGG